AGUGAACGCUGGCGGUAGGCCUAACACAUGCAAGUCGAACGGCAGCACAGUAAGAGCUUGCUCUUACGGGUGGCGAGUGGCGGACGGGUGAGGAAUACAUCGGAAUCUACUUUUUCGUGGGGGAUAACGUAGGGAAACUUACGCUAAUACCGCAUACGACCUACGGGUGAAAGCAGGGGAUCUUCGGACCUUGCGCGAUUGAAUGAGCCGAUGUCGGAUUAGCUAGUUGGCGGGGUAAAGGCCCACCAAGGCGACGAUCCGUAGCUGGUCUGAGAGGAUAAUCAGCCACACUGGAACUGAGACACGGUCCAGACUCCUACGGGAGGCAGCAGUGGGGACUAUUGGACAAUGGGAGCAAGCCUGAUCCAGCCCUACCGCGUGGGUGAAGAAGGCAUUCGGGUUGUAAAGCCCUUUUGUUGGGAAAGAAAAGCAGCAGGUUAAUACCCCGCUGUUCUGACGGUACCCGAAGAAUAAGCACCGGCUAACUUCGUG
rnacentral:rRNA from 1 species